AUGGCCGACACGGUGUUGAGCAUGGCAAGGUCAAUGUUGGGCGGCGCCAUCAGCACGGCCGCCUCUGCCGCCGCCGACGAGAUGAGCCUCCUCAUGGGCGUGCGUAAGGAUAUCUGGUUCAUCAAAGACGAGCUAGCAACGAUGCAGGCUUUCCUGUUGGCUGCUGAAGGGAUGGAAGAGAAAGACAUACUACUGAAGGUGUGGGCAGAGCAAGUAAGGGACCUAUCAUACAAUAUUGAAGAUUGCCUUGGUGAAUUCAUGGUGCAUGUCGCAAGUCAAAGCUUGUCAAGGAAGUUGAUGAAGCUCAAAGAUCGCCAUCGAAUCGCGAUACAAAUUCGUGAUCUCAAAUCAAGGGUUGAAGAAGUGAGCAAUAGGAACACACGAUACAACCUGAUUGAGAAGAACAAAUUCGCUAGAGCCACUGAUGAGAAGGAUUCUUGCAUGGAAGAUAUUCGCAACCAAUCUGCCAACAACAUUGAUGAAGCUGAACUUGUGGGGUUCUCCAAGCCAAAACAAGAGUUGAUAAAUCUCAUAGAUGUUCAUGCCAUAGAUAGCCCUGCUCAAGUAGUGUGUGUUGUCGGCAUGGGUGGUUUGGGUAAGACUACUCUUACAAGGAAGGUUUAUGAAAAUAUGGAUAACUUUUCGUGUUGUGCUUGGAUCAUUGUCUCUCAGUCAUUUGUCAGGAUGGGGUUUCUCAAAGUUAUGAUCCAAGAACUUUUUGGNNNNNNNNNNNNNNNNNNNNNNNNNNNNNNNNNNNNNNNNNNNNNNNNNNNNNNNNNNNNNNNNNNNNNNNNNNNNNNNNNNNNNNNNNNNNNNNNNNNNGUCCUUGAUGAUUUGUGGAACAUAGAUGAUUGGAAUUGGAUGGAAACUUUUGUUUUUCCUAGUAUCAACAACAAUGGUAGCCGGAUAAUGGUAACAACACGAGAUCUUGGCUUAGCUGAGAACUGCACUUUGGGACCUUCUAGCUCACUUAUCUACCGCCAUGAACCCCUAGAAACAAAUGAUGCCAUAAAUCUGCUACUAAGGAAGACUAGGAAAAAUGAGGAAGAAAUGAAAAAAGAUGGGGAUAUGAGGAAAAUAGUUACUAAGAUAGUCAAAAAGUCUGGACAGCUACCCCUAGCUAUACUCACAAUAGGAGGCAUGCUUGCCACUAGAGGGGUUGAUGAGUGGGAGAAUAUUUAUAAACAGCUCCCCUCAGAGCUAGAGAGAAAUGGGAGCCUUGAAGCAAUGAGGAGGAUGGUUACUCUGAGUUACAAUCACUUGCCUUCUCAUCUUAAGUCAUGUUUUCUAUAUUUAAGCAUAUUUCCUGAGGAUUUUGAAAUCAAAAGGAGGCGUAUGGUGGAAAGAUGGAUAGCCGAGGGGUUUAUUAUUGCCAGGAGUGGGGUGAGUGUUGAGGAUGUUGGGAAUAGUUACUUUAAUGACCUAAUCAACCGAAGCUUGAUUCAGCCAUCAAGAGUGAACAUUGAAGGAAUUAUCAAGAGUUGUCGAGUUCAUGAUAUUGUUCGGGAUGUCAUGAUCUCGAUUUCUAGAGAUGAAAAUUUUGCAUGGUCUACAUCAGAUAAAGUAAUGGGCAUAGGAAGGGAUAACUUCCGUCAUAUAGCACUGCAAGGCAGUUGGUGCCCAAAUAAAGGCCUGGAUUGGAACCAUGUCCGAUCAUUGACUGUGUUUGGCGAGAGACCCAUGAAGCCGGCACUUUCACUAUGUUCGCCCGACUUUAGGAUGCUCAGAGUCUCGGAUCUACAUGAUGCCCAGUUUGUAAUAGAACAAAAAGAUAUCAGCAGCAUAGGGUCGUUACGUCAUUUGAAAUAUGUCCAUGUUUUGUCUUCAUAUAAAGGUGAAAGUUAUAUUUACAAGCUCCCAAGAACCAUAGGGAACAUACAAGGCUUGCAAACUUUGGACAUGAGAAAAAGUGCUGUAGCAUCACUACCAACUGAGAUCACUAAACUACAAAGCCUUCGUAUCCUCCGUUGCAGCAAAGAGAGUACAGAUGCUGAUUUAUACUUACUUUACCCCAUGACCUGGUUCAUGUCCACAUUCUGUAUGCCUAUUCUAUUCACUCCUUUGGUUAGUUUAGAACGGCGUCGAGAGAUUAUGAUGUUCAUUCACAUGGCCUGGACUGGUCGACUGACCAACUCUCGGGGUAUGCAAGUGCCCAAAGGAAUCAGCAACCUAAAGGAGUUAGAGAUACUAGAGGUCGUGGAUAUUGAGCGGACAAGUAGGAAAGCAGUUAAAGAGCUCGGGGAGCUUAUAAAGCUAAGAAAGUUAAGUGCCACAGUAUGGGCAAGCAAGCAAAAGAGCAAGAUAUUCUGCACAUCCCUUGAGAAGCUCACUUCCCUCACAUCUCUUUGUCUUUGUGCGGACGGUAUUUAUCAGGGAAAUAGUGUAUCACUCAAGUGGUUGUUGCAGUCUAUUUCCUCCCCUCCCCCUCUCCUGAGGAAGCUGAAUUUGCAAGGAGAUCUCGGGGAGAUGCCUGAGUGGUUUGGGGGUCUGGUACAUUUGGUGAAGAUUGAGUUAUGGUAUAGCAAUCUGAAGGAUGGAGAUAAAAGCAUGAAACUACUAGGCACACUGCCCAAGCUGAUGCUCCUUCGUCUUUAUUUUGAUUCUUAUGUUGGGGAGAAACUGGUUUUCAGAGCAGAAACAUUCCCAAAUCUCAGGAGACUUGAUAUUUGGAGCCUGGAGCAACUGACAGAGUUGACAUUUGAGGUGGGCACCUCGCCCCUAUUGGAAAAGAUAGAAAUUCUCUGCUGCAGUUUGAAAUCAGGGAUUAAUGGUAUCAAUCACCUUCCAAGUCUCAAGGAGAUUUUACUUGGUUGGGAUGGUAAAGUGGCAAGGCUUGGUAUGCUGCAACGUGAAGUGGAUGGACACCCCAACCAUCCCGUUCUGCGACUGCUGUGGGACCGGAACCGCCACGACCUGGGUGACGUCGCCGAAGGUUCCACUACUGCAGUACAAGCGGAGGAGGAAGCGACGGAGCAGGAGGAAUCAUGUAUCCAUAACGACCCUGCAGCAGCAGGAGAAAGCUCCUCCUCACAGGUGGUGGCCGUGAGGACGGGAAGCGACAGCAUCCAAGAUUCUGAAGAUGAUUUUUGCUCCUGCAUUUCUGACGACGACGACAAUGCUUGA
rnacentral:rRNA from 1 species